CCUACGGGUGGCUGCAGUGGGGAAUAUUGGACAAUGGGGGCAACCCUGAUCCAGCCAUGCCGCGUGUGUGAAGAAGGCCCUCGGGUUGUAAAGCACUUUCAGUGAGGAAGAACGCCUGGUGGUUAAUACCCAUCAGGAAAGACAUCACUCACAGAAGAAGCACCGGCUAACUCCGUGCCAGCAGCCGCGGUAAUACGGAGGGUGCGAGCGUUAAUCAGGAAUUACUGGGCGUAAAGCGCGCGUAGGUGGCUUGAUAAGCCGGUUGUGAAAGCCCCGGGCUCAACCUGGGAACGGCAUCCGGAACUGUCAAGCUAGAGUGCAGGAGAGGAAGGUAGAAUUCCCGGUGUAGCGGUGAAAUGCGUAGAGAUCGGGAGGAAUACCAGUGGCGAAGGCGGCCUUUUGGACUGACACUGACACUGAGGUGCGAAGGCGUGGGUAGCAAACAGGAUUAGAUACCCCUGUAGUC
rnacentral:rRNA from 1 species